GGGAUUUGUUUGGGCGACGUGUUGAGUGCGGACGUGUUUCGUGCGGCGCAUGCGUAACCUCUUAACGGCUUUUUUUGAAUUUUAUUAUUCUUGCUUAUCGUCUACUAUUUUAAGACGUUAUCUGUUUUAUUGUGACGGUCUAGCGAUCUCUGCUGCAUCUAUCUUCCCAGCUUUAACCUUUUAUCUCUAAUCCAGUUCCCCCUUGCCUCUCUUUCUUUCUUUUUAUCCUCUUUCCUUUCCUAGUAGUGGUGAUAUGCGAGAGGGUCCGUCUACGGGCCAGCUCGCCCCCGAUCCGGGAGGAGAAUGGAAUUCUAAAUUACCGAAAAUGUCCCGUGGAAGAAAGGAUAAGAAAUCCAUUAAAGGUCCAAAAAAUCCUGAGUCUCAAGCCCACUCUACGAGGCAAGAACUUUCUUCCUCUCCGAAGACUUCGGAUGAUACUCACAAAGGGUUAAAAAGAUCUCGUUUCCCUAUUGUCUCGGAAGAAGGGGAGUGUGAUAACAAUUCGAUUUCAGAUAUUUCUAUGCAGUCUGAUAGCCUAUAGGACUACGGAAUCGAGUUAACCUCCUCCAACAAAAAAACUGGUGACAAUCUUCCGGUUACGGACAAAAAGACCUUACCAAAGUUUACUAAGCGUACUUAUGAUUCAGGCAAGACUGAUGGGGAACCUCCGACUAAGAGUGCCAUCAUCUCGCAGUUAACUCAAGGCCCUUCCUCAGGCACUGUUUGUCAAUACUUCCCCAGGGAUCUCCCCCCCUACAUUGUUUUGAUUCAGAAGGCUUCUGACAGCCCUACGACUCGUAUUAAUCCAGUCAUGGUCAGCCGCAUCAUCACCAACUAUGUCGGGUUAUGAGAACCAGCGUUGCCAAAAAUUAUUCUGGACAUAAUUGAGGAAACUAUCCUCAAAGAAUUCACCUCUCAAGCAAAAAGCAUUUCAGUCCGGAAGCUACAACGCAGAAUUAUAAAGGAUAACAAAGACGAGCUGAUGCCUUCCCUCUCAGUUAUGUUCGUCUUUGAGGAGGUUUUCAAAUCUCAGUUAAGCAACACCACGGUUUUCUACACUGAUGGAUCUAAGGUUGAUGAUAUUGUAAAAGUACAUCUAAAUGACUAUGUUCACACCGAGAUCGAUCGAUCAAUACACGGCACGAUUUGUCUUCUAGCAACAGACAGAUCUGUUGAUCAGGAACAAAUAAAAUAUCGAGUAGGCAGUCGAAUGUUAUCCGUCGAGUCGAAAGGAUGUGUAUAGCAUAAAUUGUAAAUCUGCUGACCAAUUUAUUAAAAAUAAACCUGAC